CAAGAAAGAAAGUCGCUGAUCGACAAUGGAAGCCCGCCCAAUGGCAACAGAAGGAAGCGAAGCGAGCUCACCGUUGUGGCUAAUCAGCGUUUUCGGGGAGGGCUUAUUGGCUCCACAGGCGUGUGGCUGAUGAUUGAGAAAGGGGCGGGGUUUUGUAGUCCCGGGUCAGUCCGCGCGUCCUUCGCGCUUCUUCACUGCAGUCUCCUCGGCCUCGGGAGGAGAGGGCCUCGGGCGGGCUGCCUCUUUUCUCCCUGGGCGCGGUGCAUGGUGGGGAAUAAUGGCUAUGGGUCUCUGGUGGGAUAGGCUGAGGGUUACACGAGUGAAAGGCGAGGCCUGCCCGGAGGCUGCCUGAGCUUGGAGAUUUGGUGGCGGUUCCGUAGCGCUUGCUGUUGCUGGGCUACUCGUCACGAGGGCUUCUCCGCCAGAUGUGCCCGCUCAUUUGUUUUUUGUUUUUUAUUUUUUGCAAAACAGCGGCGGGAAGAAAAAAAAAAAAACCACCCCAUAACUUGACGAGCUUUUUUCUUCUGCCCAACGGCUUUUUUUAGUUGCUUUCCUGCCAUUUAACUUCUCGUCACUUUUUAAUGGUUCAAAGGACUUCUUGCUGUAACGCCUUUGUGCUGCACGGAACUCGCGGUUUCCUCCCAGCCUUUUUAUGCUCUUGUUUAACAAAUUUGAGAAGAGUUUCUCAUAAGCUUUGCAGAUGCACCUCUCCCGGGGAGGCAGAAAUGCGACCGUUGAGCUUUUCCUCUUACAAAAAAAAAAAAAACAAAAAAACAACAACAAAAAACACGAUGGAGUGCCUGGUCUGCUGCAAAGCAAGGCAACAGUUAUAUAGCCUCAUAGAUACUUGCAAUAAUGACAUCUGGAUCCCCCAAAAGUCCCACUGUAAUGAUAAGACAUUGUGAGGGUGAACCUGCUUCCCUUCUGAUAAACAGUGUCCUGCAUAAGAACAGCCAGCAACACAAGUCAAGGUGAUAACAUUUAUCUGGAAACGUGGACCCGGCACGAAGCAACCAUCCAGAAAGGAAUAAAAGUUUGUGCUACCGUG